rnacentral:rRNA from 1 species
CCUACGGGAGGCAGCAGUAGGGAAUCUUCCACAAUGGGGGCAACCCUGAUGGAGCAAUGCCGCGUGCAGGAAGAAGCUUUUCGGAGUGUAAACUGCUUUUCUGAAGGAAGAUUAUGACGGUACUUCAGGAAUAAGGACCGGCUAACUACGUGCCAGCAGCCGCGGUAAUACGUAGGGUCCAAGCGUUAUCCGGAUUUACUGGGCGUAAAGCGUCUGUAGGCGGUCAGUUAAGUUAGAUAUGAAAUCUAACAGCUUAACUGUUUAGACUGUAUCUAAAACUAACGGACUAGAGAAUAGUAGAGGCAAGUGGAAUUUCCGGUGUAGCAGUGAAAUGCGUAGAGAUCGGGAGGACCACCAGUGGCGAGGGCGGCGUCCGGGCCGACACCUGACGCUGAAGCGCGAAAGCGUGGGGAGCGAACGGGAUUAGAUACCCCUGUAGU